rnacentral:rRNA from 1 species
UGAGCAAUCUGCCCUUCUCAUCGGAAUAAGCGUUGGAAACGACGUCUAAUGCCGAAUACGACCUCCUUUCGCAUGAUCGGAGGUGGAAAGCUCCGGCGGAGAAGGAUGAGCUCGCGGCCUAUCAGCUAGUUGGUGUGGGUAAUGGCCCACCAAGGCGACGACGGGUAGCCGGCCUGAGAGGGUGACCGGCCACACUGGGACUGAGACACGGCCCAAACUCCCGUACGGGGAGGNAGCG